UACGGAGGGUGCAAGCGUUAUCCGGAUUUACUGGGUUUAAAGGGUGCGUAGGCGGGUCUUUAAGUCAGUGGUGAAAUCCUCCUGCUCAACGGGAGAACUGCCAUUGAUACUAUUGAUCUUGAAUUCAGUUGAGGUGGGCGGAAUGUGUCGUGUAGCGGUGAAAUGCGCAGAUAUCAGGAGGAACACCAAUGGCGAAGGCAGCUCGCUGGGACGGUACUGACGCUGAGACGCGAAAGCGUGGGGAGCAAACAGG
rnacentral:rRNA from 1 species